rnacentral:rRNA from 1 species
UCGGGAAUAUUGCGCAAUGGAGGAAACUCUGACGCAGUGACGCCGCGUAUAGGAAGAAGGUUUUCGGAUUGUAAACUAUUGUCGUUAGGGAAGAAAAAAGAACAGUACCUAAGGAGGAAGCUCCGGCUAACUACGUGCC